rnacentral:rRNA from 1 species
UUUCGCAAUGCCCGAAAGGGUGACGAAGCGACGCCGCGUGGGUGAGGAAGGCCCUCGGGUUGUAAAGCCCUGUCAGGAGUUAAGAAAUGUAGAUUCGCUAAUAUCGGGUCUAUUUGACGAAGGCUCCAAAGGAAGCCACGGCUAACUCUGUGCCAGCAGCCGCGGUAAUACAGAGGUGGCAAGCGUUGUUCGGAAUUAUUGGGCGUAAAGAGCACGUAGGUGGUUUUGUAAGUCAGAUGUGAAAGCCUUCUGUUCAAAGGAAGAACGGCAUCUGAAACUGCAGAUCUUGAGUGUAGGAGGGGAGAGUGGAACUUCUGGUGGAGCGGUGAAAUGCGUAGAUAUCAGAAGGAACGCCGGCGGCGAAAGCGAUUCUCUGGCCUAUUACUGACACUCAGUGUGCGAAAGCUAGGGGAGCAAACGGGACUAGAUACCCCGGUAGUCCUAGCCGUAAACGAUGGGCACUAAGUAGAGGGGUUUUA